UACGGAGGGGGCUAGCGUUGUUCGGAAUCACUGGGCGUAAAGGGCGCGUAGGCGGCUUUAUAAGUCGGGGGUGAAAGCCUGUGGCUCAACCACAGAAUUGCCUUCGAUACUGUAGAGCUUGAGACCGGAAGAGGUUAGUGGAACUGCGAGUGUAGAGGUGAAAUUCGUAGAUAUUCGCAAGAACACCAGUGGCGAAGGCGGCUGACUGGUCCGGUUCUGACGCUGAGGCGCGAAAGCGUGGGGAGCAAACAGG
rnacentral:rRNA from 1 species